CUGUACAGCAAAUUUCGAAGUAAACUUUGAAUUUACAAUGCAAAAAAAAACUAAUGUAAAUCAACGUAAAUUUGGUCUUUACUGAACGUUUCCUUGUAAUUUCCUGCAAGCGUAAAUCUGUUUUUUCUCCCAGUGAAGAAUUCACGGCCGCGUUAACAUUGACUGUUUGAAAUACCGGUCAGAACUGAAAAAAGGCUACUUGAAUCUCACAGCCAAUUACAUUUCUUUUCUUCCAGGAAUAACCGAGGCCUGCAGCUCUCAAAUGAAAGACGCAACUUCUGCUAGUAGCGAUGAAAAAAUUAUUGAACAGCAAAAGGAAAAGAUCUCUGCUUUGGAGGAAGAAAUAAACAACCUAAAGCAAGAAAUAGUGACUUGAAAGAAAAACUUUCGAAGCAACCAGAGGAAAUGACGAACUUGAGCGAAAUGCUGCAGAGGGAUGAAAGUUUCAAUGACAACGCCAGUGUAACU